UACGUAGGGUGCAAGCGUUGUCCGGAAUUAUUGGGCGUAAAGAGCUCGUAGGCGGUUUGUCACGUCUGCUGUGAAAACUCGGGGCUUAACUCCGGGCCUGCAGUGGGUACGGGCAGACUAGAGUGCGGUAGGGGAGACUGGAAUUCCUGGUGUAGCGGUGAAAUGCGCAGAUAUCAGGAGGAACACCAAUGGCGAAGGCAGCUCGCUGGGACGUGACUGACGCUGAGACGCGAAAGCGUGGGGAGCAAACAGG
rnacentral:rRNA from 1 species